AUGCUCGCUUCAGCAGCACAUCUACUAAAAUUGGAACGAUACAGAGAAAGAAGAUUAGCAUGGACCCUGUGCAAGGAUGACAUGCAAAUUCAUGAAGUGUUCCAUAUUUUU